CGGCAUACGUAUCUAUGCGAAACCGUGCGACAUUACGCACACGCCAUGUGAGACGCAAGCUGUUUGAUUAUUUUCCGCUCUGUCAGGCUACAGAUAUUAACUUUCAAUUACUUAACUGCCUGGCUGUUUGUGUCAAAUACAAAUACCGUAUUAUAAAUAUAAAUGUCAUAAAUGCUGUUUGCCUUAACUCACGCUCUGACAAGAAUUCAACUUUGUUUAAACAGUUUUUGUUGCGCCUUUCAUGCCCUCUUUUCUAGCUGCCUUUUAAUGUCUAAUCAAAUAACAUGCUUGUCUCGCGCUCAAGCAAACAAAAUUAAAGACGAACGCGCAACGCGGCGUAUACGCAAUGCAUAAACGUCAAAGUAAAAUUUCGCAGAAUUCCGCUUGAAUUGCGCUCUGAUGAACGCAAAACGUGGCACUGGCCGAGCGGCUGGAGAGGAGAGGAGAGGAAAGGAGAGGAGAGGAGGAAAGUCAGGCAAAGAGAGCGGAUGUCGUGUACAGUUAGCGCUGAAAUCUCUGUUGUUGUUGUUAUUGCUCUUGCUCCUGCAUGACUGAUGAAUGAGCUGAGCGUAUGUGUGUGUGUGUGUGGGUUGCGAAUCACUUGUGCAUACGAGUCAAGUAUGAGCAUAUUUGUGUGUGUGUAUGUGUGUGUUUGGGUAAGUUAACCACGAAACUGUGCUCUGUUCGCGCAUGUGGAAGCAAGAAGUAAGGAAUCCAAACAAAGCAUUGCCAAAAAAAUCAGCUGCCAGCAUUGUCAGACAGCUGCGAGGCCAACUGCCAGUUGCCAUCAUCAUGUGCUCAGUCCUCAGGAACAAUGACAAACAUUGAGUGACCCGAACUGCAGCUAGAUUGAGUAUGCUUUUUUCGUUUACAUCAACAGCACACAGUUCAAUUGUCCUGAGGCAAAGCAUGUACGAUAAAUAAAUAUAUAUAUAUAUCUA